rnacentral:ncRNA from 1 species
UGCGCAGCGCGUGUUUCAUCACGAUGUUGCUGAACUUGACGCCUUUCAGCCGCGCGGUGCGGAUAUAUUGCGCCGUCAUCACCUCGGUCAUGCUGGCGCGGGUCAUGCGGGCGAUAUAGCCCAUGCCAUAAAGCGCGAUGGUCAGGACCGGCAGAAAGAAAUUCUCGAAAUUGGCGCUUUC